UGCAAGUCGAGCGGUAACAUAUCUAGCUUGCUCGAUGCUGACGAGCGGCGGACGGGUGAGUAAUGCGUAGGAAUCUGCCCGGUAGUGGGGGAUAACCUGGGGAAACCCAGGCUAAUACCGCAUACGUCCUACGGGAGAAAGGGGGCUUCGGCUCCCGCUAUUGGAUGAGCCUAUGUCGGAUUAGCUAGUUGGUGAGGUAAAGGCUCACCAAGGCAACGAUCCGUAGCUGGUCUGAGAGGAUGAUCAGCCACAUCGGGACUGAGACACGGCCCGAACUCCUACGGGAGGCAGCAGUGGGGAAUAUUGGACAAUGGGGGCAACCCUGAUCCAGCCAUGCCGCGUGUGUGAAGAAGGCCCUCGGGUUGUAAAGCACUUUCAGCGAGGAAGAACGCCUAUCGGUUAAUACCCGUUAGGAAAGACAUCACUCGCAGAAGAAGCACCGGCUAACUCCGUGCCAGCAGCCGCGGUAAUACGGAGGGUGCAAGCGUUAAUCGGAAUUACUGGGCGUAAAGCGCGCGUAGGUGGCUUGAUAAGCCGGUUGUGAAAGCCCCGGGCUCAACCUGGGAACGGCAUCCGGAACUGUCAGGCUAGAGUGCAGGACAGGAAGGUAGAAUUCCCGGUGUAGCGGUGAAAUGCGUAGAGAUCGGGAGGAAUACCAG
rnacentral:rRNA from 1 species